rnacentral:lncRNA from 1 species
UAGAGUGUCGGGCUCAUAGAUGUUAUAGAAGGUCAAGCACAAUAGGAAGGUCAUGUCCACUAGGAUAGGAUGUUGAGUCCUGUCUUGUAUGAUGAUGUGAAAUGCCAUGACUUUAUGCAUGUGCAUUAAUGAUAUGAUAUGCUAUGUGAUGUAUGCGAUGAGGGUUCAUGUGUGCCCACAUGAACCAUAUGAUGCUAAUGUUUGCUUGUUAUGAGC